GGAUAUGAGGACAAUCAGGCUACAACAUCUGUCUCUCUGUUCAUCUCCAGGGUUGAUCUGGCUGGCUACACAGCUGUCCCUUUCCUUCCCCCACUGCUCCAUGUCCCUCCUUCCCAAAGCCAUGGGCUCAGAGACGACUCUGCCUCAGUGGAGAGUCACCCGCCAUGUGCUUCACAGCUGGCACCUCCAAAGAAAGCUCUCACUGUGACUGUUUCCUUUU
rnacentral:snRNA from 1 species